rnacentral:rRNA from 1 species
UACAGAGGUCCCAAGCGUUGUUCGGAUUUACUGGGCGUAAAGGGUGCGUAGGUGGUUGGGUAAGUCUGAUGUGAAAUCUCGGAGCUUAACUCCGAAACGGCAUUGGAUACUAUUCAGCUUGAGAGUUGGAGGGGGGACUGGAAUUCUCGGUGUAGCAGUGAAAUGCGUAGAUAUCGAGAGGAACACCAGUGGCGAAGGCGAGUCCCUGGACAACUUCUGACACUGAGGCACGAAAGCCAGGGGAGCAAACGGG